rnacentral:rRNA from 1 species
AACGAACGCUGGCGGCGUGCCUAACACAUGCAAGUCGUGCGAGAAAGUUCCUUCGGGAGCGAGUAAAGCGGCGCACGGGUGAGUAGCACGUAGGUAACCUGCCCCCCAGUCUGGAACAACUAGAGGAAACUCUAGCUAAUGCCGGAUGAGACCACGAUCCCUUCGGGGGUUGCGGCCAAAGAUGGCCUCUACUUGUAAGCUAUCGCUGAGGGAUGGGCCUGCGGGCCAUUAGCUUGUUGGUGAGGUAACGGCUCACCAAGGCUGUGAUGGCUAGCUGGUCUGAGAGGAUGACCAGCCACACUGGGACUGAGACACGGCCCAGACUCCUACGGGAGGCAGCAGUGGGGAAUAUUGCGCAAUGGGCGAAAGCCUGACGCAGCGACGCCGCGUGGGUGAUGAAGGCC